rnacentral:rRNA from 1 species
AUUGAACGCUGGCGGCAGGCCUAACACAUGCAAGUCGAACGGUAACAGAAAGCAGCUUGCUGCUUUGCUGACGAGUGGCGGACGGGUGAGUAAUGUCUGGGAAACUGCCUGAUGGAGGGGGAUAACUACUGGAAACGGUAGCUAAUACCGCAUAACGUCGCAAGACCAAAGAGGGGGACCUUCGGGCCUCUUGCCAUCGGAUGUGCCCAGAUGGGAUUAGCUAGUAGGUGGGGUAACGGCUCACCUAGGCGACGAUCCCUAGCUGGUCUGAGAGGAUGACCAGCCACACUGGAACUGAGACACGGUCCGGACUCCUAUGGGAGGCAGCAGUGGGGAAUAUUGCACAAUGGGCGCAAGCCUGAUGCAGCCAUGCCGCGUGUAUGAAGAAGGCCUUCGGGUUGUAAAGUACUUUCAGCGAGGAGGAAGGUGUUGUGGUUAAUAACCACAGCAAUUGACGUUACUCGCAGAAGAAGCACCGGCUAACUCCGUGCCAGCCGCCGCGGUAAGAC